GUCGGUACCAAUGGCUGUGAGGGUCCACCUGUUCCCAUCCCGAACACAGAAGUUAAGCUCACACGCGCCGAAAAUACUUGGGUGGUGACGCCCCGGGAAGAUAGGUCGGCGCCGACA
rnacentral:rRNA from 1 species